rnacentral:rRNA from 1 species
GCUACCACUUACAGAUGGACCCGCGGCGCAUUAGCUAGUUGGUGAGGUAACGGCUCACCAAGGCGACGAUGCGUAGCCGACCUGAGAGGGUGAUCGGCCACACUGGGACUGAGACACGGCCCAGACUCCUACGGGAGGCAGCAGUAGGGAAUCUUCCGCAAUGGACGAAAGUCUGACGGAGCAACGCCGCGUGAGUGAUGAAGGUUUUCGGAUCGUAAAGCUCUGUUGUUAGGGAAGAACAAGUGCCGUUCAAAUAGGGCGGCACCUUGACGGUACCUAACCAGAAAGCCACGGCUAACUACGUGCCAGCAGCCGCGGUAAUACGUAGGUGGCAAGCGUUGUCCGGAAUUAUUGGGCGUAAAGGGCUCGCAGGCGGUUUCUUAAGUCUGAUGUGAAAGCCCCCGGCUCAACCGGGGAGGGUCAUUGGAAACUGGGGAACUUGAGUGCAGAAGAGGAGAGUGGAAUUCCACGUGUAGCGGUGAAAUGCGUAGAGAUGUGGAGGAACACCAGUGGCGAAGGCGACUCUCUGGUCUGUAACUGACGCUGAGGAGCGAAAGCGUGGGGAGCGAACAGGAUUAGAUACCCUGGUAGUCCACGCCGUAAACGAUGAGUGCUAAGUGUUAGGGGGUUUCCGCCCCUUAGUGCUGCAGCUAACGCAUUAAGCACUCCGCCUGGGGAGUACGGUCGCAAGACUGAAACUCAAAGGAAUUGACGGGGGCCCGCACAAGC